rnacentral:rRNA from 1 species
UGCAGUCGAGCGGUAGAGAGAAGCUUGCUUCUCUUGAGAGCGGCGGACGGGUGAGUAAAGCCUAGGAAUCUGCCUGGUAGUGGGGGAUAACGUUCGGAAACGGACGCUAAUACCGCAUACGUCCUACGGGAGAAAGCAGGGGACCUUCGGGCCUUGCGCUAUCAGAUGAGCCUAGGUCGGAUUAGCUAGUUGGUGAGGUAAUGGCUCACCAAGGCGACGAUCCGUAACUGGUCUGAGAGGAUGAUCAGUCACACUGGAACUGAGACACGGUCCAGACUCCUACGGGAGGCAGCAGUGGGGAAUAUUGGACAAUGGGCGAAAGCCUGAUCCAGCCAUGCCGCGUGUGUGAAGAAGGUCUUCGGAUUGUAAAGCACUUUAAGUUGGGAGGAAGGGCAUUAACCUAAUACGUUAGUGUUUUGACGUUACCGACAGAAUAAGCACCGGCUAACUCUGUGCCAGCAGCCGCGGUAAUACAGAGGGUGCAAGCGUUAAUCGGAAUUACUGGGCGUAAAGCGCGCGUAGGUGGUUUGUUAAGUUGGAUGUGAAAUCCCCGGGCUCAACCUGGGAACUGCAUUCAAAACUGACUGACUAGAGUAUGGUAGAGGGUGGUGGAAUUUCCUGUGUAGCGGUGAAAUGCGUAGAUAUAGGAAGGAACACCAGUGGCGAAGGCGACCACCUGGACUAAUACUGACACUGAGGUGCGAAAGCGUGGGGAGCAAACAGGAUUAGAUACCCUGGUAGUCCACGCCGUAAACGAUGUCAACUAGCCGUUGGGAGCCUUGAGCUCUUAGUGGCGCAGCUAACGCAUUAAGUUGACCGCCUGGGGAGUACGGCCGCAAGGUUAAAACUCAAAUGAAUUGACGGGGGCCCGCACAAGCGGUGGAGCAUGUGGUUUAAUUCAAU